GACGAACGCUGGCGGCGUGCUUAACACAUGCAAGUCGAACGGACAGGCCAUGCUUUUGUGGGGUGCUCGAGUGGCGAACGGGUGAGUAAAACGUGAGUAACCUGCCCUUGUCUUUGGGAUAACUUCAGGAAACUGGGGCUAAUACCCGAUAGGAGCUCCUGCUGCAUGGUGGGGGUUGGAAAGUUUCGGCGGUUGGGGAUGGACUCGCGGCUUAUCAGCUUGUUGGGGAGGUAGUGGUUUACCACGGCUUUGACGGGUAGCCGGCCUGAGAGGUGGACCGGCCACAUUGGUACUGCGAGACGGCCCAGACUCCUACGGGAGGCAGCAGUGGGGAGUAUUGCACAAUGGGCGGAAGCCUGAUGCAGCAACGCCGCGUGCGGGAUGACGUGUUUCGGGUUGUAAACCGCUGUCGCCUGUGACGAAGAGGGAGUGACGGUAAUGGGUAAAGAAGCACCGGCUAACUACGUG
rnacentral:rRNA from 1 species